ACGCUCGACACCUACGGAGGCAGCAGUAGGGAAUCUUCCACAAUGGGCGCAAGCCUGAUGGGGCAACACCGCGUGAGUGAAGAAGGGUUUCGGCUCGUAAAGCUCUGUUGUUGGAGAAGAACGUGCGUGAGAGUAACUGUUCACGCAGUGACGGUAUCCAACCAGAAAGUCACGGCUAACUACGUGCCAGUAGCCGCGGUAAUCUGAGCGGGCUGGCAAGGC
rnacentral:rRNA from 1 species